CCUACGGGUGGCUGCAGUGAGGAAUAUUGGUCAAUGGACGAGAGUCUGAACCAGCCAAGUAGCGUGAAGGAUGACUGCCCUAUGGGUUGUAAACUUCUUUUAUAUGGGAAUAAAACGUUCCACGUGUGGGAUUUUGUAUGUACCAUAUGAAUAAGGAUCGGCUAACUCCGUGCCAGCAGCCGCGGUAAUACGGAGGAUCCGAGCGUUAUCCGGAUUUAUUGGGUUUAAAGGGAGCGUAGGUGGAUUGUUAAGUCAGUUGUGAAAGUUUGCGGCUCAACCGUAAAAUUGCAGUUGAAACUGGCAGUCUUGAGUACAGUAGAGGUGGGCGGAAGUCGUGGUGUAGCGGUGAAAUGCUUAGAGAUCACGAAGAACUCCGAUUGCGAAGGCAGUUCACUGGACUGCAACUGACACUGAGGCUCGAAAGUGUGGGUAUCAAACAGGAUUAGAUACCCUUGUAGUC
rnacentral:rRNA from 1 species